CAUCUUCUAUUGAGGCAAGACAAAGCAGCCCAGUUAGGGGAAAGGGAUUCAAAGGCAGGCAAUGUAGUCAGAGCAGCCCCUGCUCCCACUUUAGGAGCCCCAGCUUCACAACUGUUACACGUGUGUUUCUACAUAUGCCUAGGUCAGUCCCACGCAUGCUCUCGGUUAGCAGUUCAGUCUCCAUGGGCCCAGGUUAGUUGAUUCUGUAGGUUUUCCUGUGGUGUCCUUGACCCCUCUGGCCUUCAAUCCUUCCUUCUCUUCUUCCAGAGGAUUCCCCCAAGUUCCACUUAAUGUUUGGCUGCGGGUCUCUGCAUCAGUUUCCAUCAAUUGCUGUGUGAAGUCUCUCCGAUGAAGGUUAUGCUAGGCUCCUCUCUGGGACUAAAAGACAUGUCUUGAGAGAUGCUGAAGCUCUGGUCUACAAAAUGAGACCAAGACCACAUCAAACACCCUCGGCCUCUUGAUGACAGCUUUGGGACUGAAUCCCUGCAUCUUGCAGUACAGGGUGGAUUAUAUCCUUUAGACUUGAUAGUGACCUGAUUAAUCUUUGGACCCUGUGUUUUCGACUUCUCCAUUACAAUCUCAGCAGAGACUAUUAAUCUUUGGACUUCUGUGUGCUCAGCUGAUUCUUAAUUUGAUUUACUCUUGUUGGCAGUCAGUCCACAUGGAGCUGAUCCAGUGGCAAUCUAACUCUGCCCAUCUGGGGCCCCUAGGUUGUCCUUCAAUGCCCAGAGUCAGUGACAGUGGAGACCCUGAAUCUUUAGGUGUCCCUGUUUCAGCAAGGAGUUUCCAGAUUGCCUUAAGGUCCAUCUCCUGAGUCAUUUUAGGGUCUUUAGGGGACAUGUUAGAUAGGAAGACAGAUAUUGGUGGGCAUGGAUGGAGGUUUCUCUGACGUUCGGACCUUUUUACUCACAGCCUGGAGCUACUCUGCCUUCUGGCUGCUCAGUGACCUUCAUUACUGAAUCUUCGAGCUUCCUAAUUAAAAAGUAUGGUUUCCCACUCUGUCUUUUUAACUUUUUUUUUUUUUUUUUCCGGAGCUGGGGACUGAACCCAGGGCCUUGAGCUUGCUAGGCAAGCGCUCUACCACUGAGCUAAAUCCCCAACCCCUCUUUUUAACUUUUGUGUCUUCGAGAACAAACUCCUUUAUCUAGAACAUCAUUAGAAGUCAUGUUGACACCAUCCUUUCCCAGAAUUUCUGAUAGGAGAGACAGUCGUCCCUUCCACUCCCAUGUCCGUUAGGAAAGAGCUACAGGAAUGCCAACUACUCCCUUCCCCACCUCUCUGUGGGAACAAACCCCAGGACUGUUAGCCAAGGCAUUUUGUAAUGCGUCUCUAUUUGGGUUAAAUGGAGAUAAUUUACAUUUUUCAGACUAACUUGUUUCUCUAGAUUCUUGCUGUUCAUGCCUUAUUAACCCUCAGUAAUGGCCGGCCAGGAAAGAUGUUUAUCAAUCACCUAAUGCUCUUUAACUGGUCACCCCUAACAAUGUUCAACUGCUCCACCCUCACCCUGGGGAAAUUUUCUAGCUCUUUGCCAUCCCCCUUUUUAAGAAAUUGUAAGAUGUGACUGCCACUCUGCAGUCUGGAUGCUGUGAGCCCUGGCCACGCUGAUGUCCACCUGUCUUUCCAUGGCAUUAGUAACUGUUCUAAUAAGCUCUAAAAGGACAGUCUGCCCCAGAGCCUCCUUUGAAUAUGAAACCCCAAACCUUUUACUGGGGAUCAAAUCAAGAGCUUUGUACAGGCUUGGCAAGCGCGCUCUCCUGCUGAGCUACACUCCCGGCCUGCUUUUGAUCAAUUUCUUUUUUAAGAUUUAUUUUUAUUAUUUUUAACUAUGUGUGUGGUGGAGUAUAUGCACACGAACGCAAGUGCCCACAGAGGUCAAAGCUGUCAGAUGCCUCUGGUUACAGGCUGUCGUGAGCCGCUUGAUGUGGAUGCUAGGAAUUGAACUCAGGUCUUCAGGAAGAGCAAUAUAGAGCAGUAUAUGGUUUUAACCACCGACCCACCUCUUCAGCCUGCUUUUGGUCACUUUUAAAUUGGUCUGUUUUAGAUUUAAGUUUAUUGGCCAAGUAAGGUGGUUGAUGGUUACAGUAAAAGUGCUCGCCAUCAAGUCUGAUGGCCCGAGUUAGAUUCGCAGGAUCCACAUGGCGGAAGCGGAGGACCAGCUCCUGCUUGUGAUUGAUUACGUUUAUUUGCUUACUUGGCGUGUGUGUUAAUGAUGAGUGUGAGUACAGGCACACGGCUGCACUAGAUGGGGCAGGCAGUUGAUCCUCUUUCUACCACAGCUCUGGGGAUCAAACUCAGGACCUCAGGUUUGUGCAGCCAGCACUUUACCUGCUGAUCCAGCUCCCCUUCCUGGCUAUUGACCUAUUGACUUGUGAGAAUCUUUAGAGUCUGUAUACAAACAAGUACCUUACCUUAGAUAUAUGACUUCCCAACAUUUCCUCUCCAUCCCCUCCUUCUCUUUUCUUUCUAUCCCUUCCUUUCCUUCCCUUCCCUUCUUUUCUCUCUCUCUCUCUCUUUUUUUUUUUUUUUUUUUUUUGAGCUGAGGACCGAACCCAGGACCCCAGGGCCUUGCACUUGCUAGGCAAGCACUCUACCACUGAGCUAAAUCCCCAACCCCUUCUUUUCUUUUCUUUUCUUUUCUUUUCUUUUCUUUUCUUUUCUUUCCUUUCCUUUCCUUUCCUUUCCUUUUCUUUUCUUUUCUUCUGUUUUUGUUUUUCUCUGUGUAUCCUUGGCUGUCCUGGAACUCACUCUGUAGACCAGUCUGUUCUAGAACUCACAGAGAUCCUCUUUCCUCUGCUUCCCGGGUGCUGGGAUUAAAGGUGUGUACCACCAUGGCCAGGAUAUUUCCUCUCUUUUUUAUGAGCUGUUUUAGUUUUGAGAGUAUUCUUUGAAGAACUUCUUUUCUUUUCCUUUUUUAAAAUAAUUUUGACAAUGUUGGGUCUAUGAGAUGGUUUAGCAGAUUUAAGUUCUGAUCCCGAGACCCCAUGGUGUAAGGCGAGAAACAGUAUACAUUCACUCUCACACAAAAAUAAUAAUAAACAAAGAAAAUGUAACAUUGACAAAGCUCAAGUUGUUUAUUUUUUGUCUUGACCCUUGUGCUUUUCUGUAUCUGUUGCUCUUGGUUUUAAUUGUUGCAGUUGUUGGGAGAGAGGGGGGUUGGGUGAGGGAGUUGCAAGAAAGGUGCCAUCACCUCUCUGUUUGCACGUGGAAGGUUAAUGUCAGGUGUCCUCUGUUUUUCUCAACCUUAUUUAUUGAGACAGGAUCUCUCAGUGACCCUGGGGUUUGCUGUCUAGAUGAGAAUGGUUGACCAAUGAGAAUCUGUCUGUCUCUACUGCUCAGUGCUGGGAUUAUAGGUGUCUUCUCAUAGGGUCUUUCCUUUUACAUGAGUUCCAAGCUCAGGUCCUCAGGCCCUCAAAGCAGCACUCUACCCACAAAGCUACCUCCCCAAACCUGUUUUCC